GACUUUCUCUUACACGUAACAUAACAUAUCCAACUGUGCCAGGGGCGUAGUGCAGGCCACACCUGGUCUUUCUCUUACAUAUUGCCAGGGGCGUAGUGCAAGCCACACCUGGACUUCCUCAUACAUAUUACCAGGGGCAUAGUGCAGGGCACACCUGGACUUUCCAUCUCAUAUCAUAUCAUAUCAUAUCGAGGGCUAGCGGAUCAUCCAAUAUCCAUCCACAUCAACAAUAAAUUAUGCAAUGCAUCAUAUUCGUGAAUUCUAAUACAACAUCCUAAUACAUAAACAUGGUAUCCGUGAUGCAUGAAUAUGCUUAAAAAGUUUGAUUGCUU
rnacentral:lncRNA from 1 species